UACGUAGGGGGCUAGCGUUGUUCGGAUUCAUUGGGCGUAAAGGGUGCGUAGGUGGCGCUGUAAGUCGGGUGUGAAAUUUCGGAGCUUAACUCCGAAACUGCAUUCGAUACUGCGGUGCUUGAGGACUGGAGAGGAGACUGGAAUUUAUGGUGUAGCAGUGAAAUGCGUAGAGAUCAUAAGGAAGACCAGUGGCGAAGGCGGGUCUCUGGACAGUUCCUGACACUGAGGCACGAAGGCCAGGGGAGCAAACGGG
rnacentral:rRNA from 1 species